AGCUAUCUAGAUUAGUGAGAGGAAAUGAGUGGUGGAUUAGCACCAAGUAAAAGCACCGUGUAUGUAUCCAACUUGCCUUUUUGUCUGACAAACAAUGACUUAUACAGGAUAUUUUCCAAAUAUGGAAAAGUUGUAAAAGUUACUAUUAUGAAAGAUAAGGAUACCAGGAAGAGUAAAGGUGUUGCAUUUAUUUUGUUUUUGGAUAAAGAAUCGGCACAAAAUUGUUCGAGGGCACUAAACAAUAAGCAGUUAUUUGGGAGAGUGAUAAAAGCAAGCAUUGCUAUUGACAAUGGAAGAGCUGCUGAGUUCAUCCGAAGGCGCAACUACUUUGAUAAAUCUAGAUGUUAUGAAUGUGGAGAAACAGGUCACCUAAGUUAUGCUUGCCCUAAAAAUGUGCUUGGAGAACGUGAACCACCAAAAAAGAAAGAAAAGAAAAAAAGAAAGAAAAUUAUUGAACUGAAAGAAGAAAUUGAAGAAGCGGAAGAAAGUGAAGAUGAAGGAGAAGACCCUGCUCUUGAGAGCCUCAGCCAAGCCAUAGCUUUCCAGCAAGCCAAAAUUGAAGACCAACAAAGAUGGAAGCCCAGUGCAGGGGAACCUUCAAAAUCAAAUGAUUCAAGACGCCCAAGGAUAAAGAAAAGUGCAUAUUUCAGUGAUGAGGAAGAGCUUAGUGAUUGAAAUUGAUGUAUUAUAUAUACAUCACUAAAAUACAAAAAUUUUAAAGCACAGUUAAAUGGUGUUAAAAUUACCAUUGGAAUUUUGAAUAUAAGGAAACAUGUAACUAAUAUUUUAUACCUUAUAACUACAAUUACAAAGUUUACUUUCAUAGGAAACCAAAAACUUAUUUAGAAGUAUCAUGUUUCUAAAUUUAUUUUAGUAGAGCAAUAAAAAUCCAAUUUUGCUUCUAAAACUGUUACUCUUCUAAAAGCAUAUGUAAAUGCAACCUAACCAGUUGCAUUCAAUAAUAAGAAAACGAAUUGCUAAAUAUUGUCAUGUCGCCACUAUAGACUUGCUUUAAAGAAGUUAAGUAUUUUUAAGAAGCUAUUAAAAAGUUAAAGCUUUCUUCAUGUUUCACAUGUCAACGUGAGCAUUUUUCAAAUCUAAUUUUAAACAAAAGCUUCCUAAGAAUUAAAGAAAGUCAGUGACUUAAUUGUAUUUAGAAAUGUUCUUUACUAACGUUCCCCAAAGAAUUUUUAAAAAGAUGAAUGGCAGGAGU